UGGGGAAUUUUGGACAAUGGGGGAAACCCUGAUCCAGCCAUCCCGCGUGUGCGAUGAAGGCCUUCGGGUUGUAAAGCACUUUUGGCAGGAAAGAAACGUCGCGGGUUAAUACCCCGCGAAACUGACGGUACCUGCAGAAUAAGCACCGGCUAACUACGUGCCAGCAGCCGCGGUAAUACGUAGGGUGCAAGCGUUAAUCGGAAUUACUGGGCGUAAAGCGUGCGCAGGCGGUUCGGAAAGAAAGAUGUGAAAUCCCAGAGCUUAACUUUGGAACUGCAUUUUUAACUACCGGGCUAGAGUGUGUCAGAGGGAGGUGGAAUUCCGCGUGUAGCAGUGAAUGCGUAGAUAUGCGGAGGAACACCGAUGGCGAAGGCAGCCUCCUGGGAUAACACUGACGCUCAUGCACGAAAGCGUGGGGAGCAAACAGGAUUAGAUACCCUGGUAGUCCACGCCCUAAACGAUGUCAACUAGCUGUUGGGGCCUUCGGGCCUUGGUAGCGCAGCUAACGCGUGAAGUUGACCGCCUGGGGAGUACGGUCGCAAGAUUAAAACUCAAAUGAAUUGACGGGGUCAUAGCUGUUUCCUG
rnacentral:rRNA from 1 species